UGCACUAUACUAGGAGAAAAAAAAUUGAAGUUACCCUCAUAUAUCUGAAAAAGGGCAUGUAAAACUUCCUCUAAUCCCUGAUUUAAGAAUGACUAUAAGAUAAACCUUUAUUGAUCCACAGAGGGGAAAUUAGAUUGUCAUAGUAGCACAAAGACAGCAAUAGUACAGAUAAAUAGAGAAAGUAAAAGAAUAAAUAUUAAGAGGUAUAUAAAAAACUAAACUAAAAUAAGUCAAUUUAAUACAAUAAAAUACAAUAAAAGUCUUAAAAAGGUCAGCACCUAUCAGUUAUUCUUCAAACAUAAAGUGUAUUAUUAAGAAAGACAUGCAUUUUUUUCUGUGUUUUAUAACAUUUGUAUGUGUGUAUUGUAUGAAAUUGAUCAAAUCUAAUAUCCCAAUAUUUUGGGCAAAAUACAUUAUUGUAUAUUAUAUAUUUGUUAUAUGACUAUUUGUAUUUAAUGUAAAGUACUGACAAAAGACACAAUGCAUAAAGGCCAAGAAGAUAGAUAGAUACAUUUUUAUUGAUCCCAAAAAUGGGAAA